GGAAAAGCCUCUGACCAUGUCGACAGAACAACAAGAACUGACGUUCGAGAGCUUUCUGAAGAAAAGAAAAGAUAAAGUGAAGCUGAAGUGGGUAACAUAUUGGUUCAGGCUACAAAACACAACCCUGUUCUUCUACACUAAAAAACAUGGAAGUGCAUUGCAUCUGAGGGGGCAGUAUUACAUAUACAUGGUGAGUGAAAU